GGCCGCCUGGCGAAAUGGCAUCGCGUCUGACUACGAUUACGUAAUCGAUCAAUCAGGAGAUUGCAGGUUCGACCCCUGCGGUGGUCA
rfam:Gymnopus luxurians FD-317 M1 unplaced genomic scaffold GYMLTscaffold_10, whole genome shotgun sequence.